UACGAAGGGGGCGAGCGUUGUUCGGAAUCACUGGGCGUAAAGGGCGCGUAGGCGGCCCUCUUAGUCGCGUGUGAAAGCCCCGGGCUCAACCUGGGAACGGCGCGCGAAACGGGAGGGCUGGAGUUCGGGAGAGGAGAGUGGAAUUCCAGGUGUAGCGGUGAGAUGCGUAGAUAUCAGGAAGAACACCCGUGGCGAAGGCGGCUCUCUGGGACGUGACUGACGCUGAGACGCGAAAGCGUGGGGAGCAAACAGG
rnacentral:rRNA from 1 species